rnacentral:rRNA from 1 species
UACGUAGGGGCAAGCGUUGUCCGGAAUCAUUGGGCGUAAAGAGCGUGUAGGCGGCUUGGCAAGUCUCGCGUGAAAUCCUGCGGCUCAACCGCAGGCGGUCGCGGGAAACUGCCUCGCUAGAGUCCGGAAGAGGAGAGUGGAAUUCCUGGUGUAGCGGUGGAAUGCGCAGAUAUCAGGAAGAACACCCGUGGCGAAGGCGG